rnacentral:misc_RNA from 1 species
CAGGAUCUCCGAGGAGCCGGCUAUGCAGUGGGUGAGGUCCACAGCCGGGAUGAGAAAGGCGAGCACGAAGAUAAAAAACGCCUGGGUGACGGUGUCUUUGGAGGCGGCGACCAGCCAUGCUAUGAGCGCCACCACCCAGCCCCCGAAAACGCCCUUUAUGAUCGCGACCCAGAACCCAUGGUCUACCUUGCGGACUGCCUCGUCGACGAG